GUUGGAGGUCCAAGACUGGGGCGUUGGCUAGGAAGGGGUGGGAGGGCCUCUCUGGAGUCACAGAAGCCUCAUGCAUCUUGACCAGGACGGUGGAUGCAUGGCUUACAUUGGUCACAACUUGUCAACUUGUAUGACUGAAAACUGAACAUCACAUUGAAUUGGACUCAAAGGCAAGACCUGAGGCAAAAUUCAUGUAAGGAGGGAGUUUGGGCGAAGCUUGAGGACUGCUGCCCGGAAGCGUAGAUUCAAGUUGCCCUGAAUACACCUCCUAUUAGCAGCUGUUACAGGUUCAGAAAAAGGAUGGAGGUAGAAAGUCCUCUCUCCCAAACACUAUGAUUGACACUGCAGAGUUCUGCAACUCUCGUACGAGGGAGAUUUCAUGAUGAUCUCAGUAACCGAUCAGAGAAUCAACGACUGACUUCGCUGAGGCACGGUGAUGAAAAGGUCAAGGUGGUCUGGUCUGAGUGAAGUCACAGCAAGAACCCUUGUCCAGGGCCAUUCUCACCUUUGGGGACAGCUCCUUCCCUGUAUGGUCCUCAUGUCACUGCACUUUCCUGCCUUGUUUCUUGCUGAAGCCAUUAUUUCUUAAUUCCUUAGUAGAUAUGCAGAGCGGACAUCCCAAAGAAGCUAGAAAAAUUGAUGAGCAGGGAACAGAUCAAAUCCUCUCCAUCAGUGGAAGGCAAUUCACGAGGGAAGAAGGCAAGACCAUGGGGUAAUUUUUCUGAGACUUGACAAUGUUUGCCAAGUAAAUAAAUCUGCCAUUUAACACUACGAUAAAAGCUGUCAUAGCCAGGGUAUUAGUGACUACUUGAGGUUUGAGGACAAUGAAGACAGAGUAAGAUAAACAUCCUUACUAUCCAGAAAAAAAAAACGGAACCAGAAGACAGCGCUUCUUACUAUCCACAAAAGAAAUGGAACCGCAAGACAGCCCUUCUUAUUUUUCUCCAUCUUCGAUGGUGAGGAAGAAUAAAAAAAAAGUUGCUUUUAAAGUAUAUUCAUUAAAAUCAAAUUCUAUUAUCAUACACACAAAAUAUUUACGUGAAACCAGCCACAAAAGAAUGACAAGGAACGCUACUGAUUUGUCCAUUCUGGGGGAUAAGAACACAGAUUCUUAUCUCACUCUUGUUAAAAGAAAACUUCAGCUGAAUUAAAUUUAAAGGAGUUUAAUUGAGCAAUGAAUGAUUUGCACAUCGGGCAGCCCCCAGAAUUACAGCAGAUUCAGAGAGACUCCAGUGCAGCCACGUGGUGGAAGAUUUAUAGACAAAAAAAGGGAAGUGAGGUAGAGAAACACCUGGAUUAGUUACAGGUUGGCAUUUGCCUUAUUUACACACAGUUUGAACAUUCAGCAGUGUAUGAGUGAUUGAAGUACGGCUGCUGGGACUGGCCGAGACUCAGCAAUUGUGACAGGUACAUACUCCUAAUUUAGGUUUUCAAUCUUGUCUACCUAUUAAGUUAGGCUCAGUUUGUUCACAGGGACUCCAAUACAGAAGUACGGAGUCCUUCUCAGGCCAUAUUUAGUUCGCUUUAACAAUUCCCCCUUUUUGGUCAUUUUAUCAGUUUUGAGAGAUUGAUCGAAACUUGAGUUAUUGAUGUCACUGUCACCAUUGGUCUUGAAACCCACUAGGAAGCAGAACAGUGAGUUUUGCAAAGGUAGGAACAAGGACUGAGUUGAGGAUACCACCUUAUGCUGGAAAGUCCUGUUUGCAAGAGAAAAACAAAACCUGGUCUAUUCUAGGACCCAUGUGUUUCCUUAAAGUCUUAAUUCGAUUAUGUCACAUUUAGCACGAAUGAUGCCAUUUUGGUUCGGUUUGGUCUGUUGGGACCUAGUGCUCAGUCCAAAACAAUGGCCUCCCAUCAUUUUGUUUAAAAAAUUCCCCCUUUGUCAGGUUGUCACUUAGGCAAGAGUGUGACCAAAACUUAGGAUGUUAGCGCCACUCUCCGUUACUAUCAUUUUGGAUUUCCAGUCUCAGCAUGUCACUCAUCGGUUUCGGUGUCCUCGUGGUCACACAUUUCUUUCAGCUCUUGUCAUUCCAGUUGAAGAGAGACCAUCUGACGUUCUAAAGAUGGCUUCAUGCAAACAUUUAAAACCUUUGAGAGAAUACAGUGCACCAGGGAGACUAUUCUUAUGACUACUGAGAGGGUUAACACCAAGAAUUUGGAGUAUGCUCCUUAGCCAGGGUCCCCAUAAACCAGACCACCUAAACUCAAAUAGACCAUUCUUUGACUUAACUCAGUGGUCUUUUCGUUAAUUCCCUACAACAGACUCUCUAUAACACCUGAUGUUUUCUCCAUAGGCCUUAAGUGCCAGCAUCUGCACAGGUACUUUCCUGUUUAGCCAAUUCUAUUUUUUAGCAUAACUUUCACAAGAGAAUUUAACAUCUGUUGUGUAGCCUUUACAGUAGAAUCUGCUACAGAGUCUACCAUGAGGGAUAUGUUUCUAGUCAUUGCCUUUUUAAUUCCAAACCAUGGAAAAAGGACCUAACAAAUGAUGCCCUUCUAGAAGAGGGAAGGCCUCUUGGCAAUGGUCUCUUUAACCCAUGCUGUGGGUUAAGAGGAGUGAACCAAUGUUCUGCUUCUGAAUGAUUAUGAGGCACCAUAUGUACCAUUGAAGUUUCUCACCUAUGAUACACUGGGCCUUCAUCUUUAUCUAUCAAGUUAUAAGAUUAUCCAUGUAUAAAGCUGGCUGCAAAGCCCUUCACAAAUAAAAGUAUACCCCAUAAGUGCACAAAACAGACCCCCUUCUCACUUCUGUUGUUCACAGAGGCGGAAGCAACGGAAAAACAUUCAAAGAUAAGAGUCUCAUGAUAGUAAGAAGUCUUGAUCCAUGAUCUUCAGAAAGAGCUGCUCACAUCAAGGAUGCCAUCUUCUUCUGGGGAGAAACUUCCCUGAUUAGCUUUACCUUAAGGGUUUCAAUGGAUGUAGAGUUCCAAGAGUGACCCUGCUCAGUUGUGAGAUUAUGACCCCAAGGUUCAAGAUCCUGAUGUUUUGUUGCAGUGAUGAUGCCAAGGGCAGCGUUUCUCUGAUGUUCUCAGAAGAUCCCAUCUUUGGGUUCUAGAUUGUGAAGGGGUUGAUUGUCCUCAGUGAACCAUAAAAAGCUCUUUACCUGGUGAAAAUACACUGAUACAUAGUAAUCUACUGUUAUAACAUUAGCCCUCCUGCAUGGGAAAGCUUUAGUACAACCAGAACACAUACAUUGAAAAUGACAACUGAAUGAAACCCCUUUAUAAAUGUUUAAAUGCCUCAUCAGGUAGCCAAAUGUACAUGAAGCUUUGAUUGACUUCCCAGGAGUAUGGGUUUGACAAACUAAACAUUGUUUAUAAACUAUUUUAACAAUCUGUAAGUCACCACACCAACAUAUUUAAUUUGGAUCAUUUUAUCUUUUCCAGGAUGAGUCAUGGAAUGCAUAACUUUUAAUAACAAAAGCUUUAAGGACUCACGAAGGACAAGGCAGCCAUCUUGGUUCUCCAUGAGUCCAUGCUUAACAUCGGACUUAUGUCCUCUUGGGUGCCAGUUGUUUCUCCAAAUUGGGCACAUAGCAUGGAUAACUGAUGGGUUAUCACAGGGGAUGGAAAAAUCUCAACAAAAAAGGAGCGCAGAAGAGCCUGGCUAGGCGGGAGAACACGGUCAGGCCCGCAGGAGACGCCGCGGCACCUGCCAGAAAGAGAGCCGCAGGCCAAGACCAGGAGACGCGAGAGAGGUGGGCAGGGCUGCCCGAGAGACCCAGGCGGCCAUUGCCCGCCCUGCGUCUGCGCCUGCGCCGGAGCCUCCUCCACACUGCGCCAGCGCCGAGUCCGGCCGCCUCCUCAUUGCGCCGGCGCCGGGGCUUCCUCCACACCGCGCCUGCGCCGAUGACAACCCGCCUCUACAGGACGCCUGCGCAACGCCAUAGUCACCUCAUCAGCUCCGUGCACUUACGAGUCUCUCUCUGAUCGACCACGUGUUCCUGUCGGCUCACAGAGGCCGCCUCAGGGUCCUCCCCCAUUGUCUUCCUCGCACCCUCCACUGUUCCCGGCCCUUCACUCUGCGCUUGCGCAGGAGUCGCUCGCUCCUCUCUGCGCCUGCGCAGAGGCCACCUCCUCCCCGCCCGUCCGCUCCCUUGGCGUCGUCUUGGGCCGCGCCCCGACCCCUUCUGUUUACGCAUGCGCAGGAGCCGCCCUGCGCGGGUGGGGGGCUGAGCCCCUGUGGCUUCAGGUUUAAAGGCGCGAGCGCCACCCACGCAGGCACAAGGGCUCCUAGUCGUUUUAUUUUUAGCGUAAGGUUUUCCUCUUUAACAAGGAAGUAAAAAAAAAAGUUGUGCAAUAAAUAUUAAUCGUCCUUAUAUGUACUCGGGAACGUUCGUCCUUUAGGUUUUCUCCUGGCGCAUGGGCGCCGCCAAUCAUUUCGGGGCUUAUUUUGGUUCUAAAGCCCGGGGCAGCCAGGCCUCCCUGCCUGGCCUCGGCGGGGACGCGGGACCUGGGGCCCCGGACCGGGCCUAACCGCCCUGGCCGGUCCCCACUGAUGGUGGCGGUCGGUCCUGAUCGUCCUGAUGGCAGCGACCAGGCUGGACUCGGGCUGUGCAGGGGCGAGGGGAGCAGGGCGGGGUGACGCCCGGAGAGCGGCCUGGAGAGCGCGUGCUUCAGAAGGCGUGGGCACCCUGUCCCCUUUGCAGAUGGGGAUGCAGGCCCUGGUGGCGGUGGAGGGGAGAUGGGGGCAGGGACGUUGCCGGGCAGAGGAAGCUGGGUGAGUGUGCACUUGGUCCCCUUUGCUCCUCCCUGGGACUUUGGGCUCUAUAGGGCAGCCUCCGAGGCCCACGUGCACACUCGGUGAACCACAGUCCAGACACAGGCAGGGCGGCAGGCCAGGGAAGGAGAGGCCAGGUGUUGGUGCAUGGAGAGGCCAGGUGUUGGCCUGGGGGUGCUAAGUGAACCCCCAAGGUCGCGGAGACAGUAGGGCAACAGCAAAACGAGCUCUGCCGUCCAGGGCGAGGGCCCGGAGUCCUCCCCAGGGGUGGGCUGCAGAGAAGCCCCUGUCCAGGCCCUGCUCACCUGCAAAGUGCUCCCGAGCUCCUGUGCCCCCAGCAGCAAUCCCAGCCCCGCUGACACCCAAGCUUGUCACCCGCUGGGUUUCUUGAGGUCUGAGGACCGUGGCUGAGGGUGCAUGGGCGCUGGGAUGGAGGGGGAUGUCCUGUCCCAGUCUGUGCUUAUUAAUUGUUAAAGAGGGCAAGGCUGCUUUUAUUCAAGGUGGGGGGGCUGCUAAAGCGAGAUGUUGGGUUAGGGGAGGCAGAUCCGGCUCAACUCCAGAUAGAAAAAGUGGGAAUUGACAGCCCAGGCGUAGGGUCGGGAGUGGAGAGAAAAUUACUAAGAGGAAGGGUCAGGGGCAAGGCGGGUUCUAGCUGCAUAGACAGGAUUUUUGCUGAAAAGGCAGGCAGUGUGGUCACAGACCGAGGGUGGGAGUUGAGGACUUUGAUCAGGGACCAAGAGUAGACGAUUUUCACUAAACCGACUCAGCAGGAUUCUUGCUAAAUCGGCCGAAACCGGCCAAGGUCAGGGACUGGUCACAGGGAGGGCUCAGAGGAGCCUGACUCGAGUGUGGUCAAAGGAGAGAGUCUUUGUCAUCUUUUAAGAGGCGAGAGUGACGUAUUAGUGAGAAACGGUGAAGGGAUCAAGCUCAGGCCAGCAGCCCCGAGUUUGAGAUGAGGACAGGCUGGGUCCAGGAAGGGCUGCAGGAAUAGGGGGCACCUGAGCCUGCAGAAAGCGGGGAGCCCAGCCGCCAGAGCAGGCACCCCCAGGCAGACCUCAGUGUGUCCUGCCCUGUGGGAGUGGCAAGGCCAGACCAAGCUGGAUGUGAACCAGUCCCAGAACACCGCCUAGAAUUUGGAUUGUAAUUUGUUAUCGAUGAUAUUGCUGCUUGGUCUCUCUCCUCUUCCUCCCCACCCCCACCCAAGAUGGAGUCUGGCUUUGUCCCCCAGGCUGGAGUGCGAUGGCAGGAUCUCGGCUCACUGCAACCUCCGCCUCCUGGGUUCAAACAAUUCUCCUGCCUCAGCCUCCCAAAUAGCGGGGAUUACUGGUGCGUGCCACCACACCCAGCUAAUUUUUGUAUUUUUGGUAGAGACGGGGUUUCAUCAUGUUGGCCAGGCUAGUCUCAAACUCCUGACGUCGUGAUCCGCCCACCUCAGCCUCCCGAAAUGCUUUGGGAUUACGGGUGUGAGCCGCCGCGCCGAGCAUGGCCAUCGUGGCUACAUCAGUCCCGGCUAAUAGAGAUUUUAGCACACUCAGAUUCUAUUGGCUAAUAAGAUUUAAUUAUAAUUCUGGGGUAUUUAACAAUGUCGUUAUACAGUCUUCAUUGUUGCAAAUGGAGAAUGAAAUCGGGUGCAUGUGACACUAAUAUGACCUGUUCAUGCUCUGUCACUUAAACGGAGUUAAGUAACAUAGCCCUGAGCAGGAAGACUCCUUCCCCACUUCUGUCCAGGAGCUCCUUACUCGAUUCUGGGGAACAGAAAGGCUUUCAGCGGCCAAGGGGAGUGACAACAGCCAGACAUGAGACACCUCCUAGAGCCCUUUGGUGUUACCCUUUCCGGUCCAUCAGCCACAGUGUCCACCCCAGGUAGCUGGGUCCUGAGUUCACCGUCUCAGGACAUUUUUCGACCUGGUUUGUCUGAAUUAUUAUUAUUAUUGAUCAUUGAGACAGGGUCUCAGUCCAUCGCCAAGACUGGAGUGCAGUGGUGUGAUCCUGGCUUACUCAGCCUCCCAGGCUCAGGUGAUCCUCCCAGCUCAGCCUCCUGCGUAGCUGGGACCACAGGCAGGCACCACCAUGCCUGGCUAAAUUUUUUGUAUUUUUUGUAGAGACCAGCUCUCGCUAUGUUGUCCAGGUUGGUCUCAAACUGCUGCCUCAGCCUCCCAAGGUGCUGGGAUUACAGGCAUGAGGGACCAAGCUCAGCAAUCUGAAUUAUUUAUGCAGAAUUUUUUUUUCUCUAGCUGGAAGAGCUGUUUAUAUGCACGUUUCUUUGGGGGCAACUCUUCUCCAUUGUCACAGAUUUUUUUUUUCCAAGCCAUUCCUGGGGGAUUCCUGGGAGCCAUGUGGGAGAGGCGUGAGGAAGUGAGACCUUCACCCCGAGACAGGUCCUGACACACCCUCUGGUGCCUCUACUCAAGUGAGAAGUUUGGCUGCUGUAACUGACUGGGAAGCUUAAAAUAACAGACAAUCAUCUCUCACAUUUAUGGGGACUGGGAAGUCCAAGACCAAGUUGCCAUCUGGGGAGGGCCUGUUCCUCACAGCGCCUUCCAGCUCAGGCCUCGUUUAUAAGGGCACUCAAGCCUUCCACGACAACGGGUCCUCAUGACUUACUCACCUCGGAAAGCCCCACCCCCAAGACCAUCACAUUGUGGGUGAUGGCAGAGCAUAAGGUGCCUUCCCCACAUGCUCGGGUUGGCCCAGCGUCUCACGCUAGCAGCUACGUGGAAUAGUUAUUUUUUCUGGAGAACUCUGGGACCCCUCUGAUGUCUUGGAGCACCCACACAGGCCGUUCACUGUGCACGCUGUGAGGCUGUCGUCUUGGAGCACCCACACAGGCCGUUCACUGUGCACGUGGUGAGGCUGUCCUCUGGGGAGUUCUGCUGUUGUAUGGGUUCUGUCUGUGUCAAUGUCCCAGCGGGAACGCAGGGCACACUAGCGUCAUCCCCAGAGGGCUUGGUAAGGGGACUGUUUGCAGAGACAUAGGCAGAGGGCUGGAAAACUACCAAAAAAGUGCAGUGUUCUGGACCUAAUAAUAGCAGAGCUAUUCUCACCCUGGUCUGAAGGCAGGAGGGGAGGAGCAGUUAAUGGAUUCUGGAAGUCAGGUUGCACAGAGUCACCUUGAAAGAUGCCAUGACCUUCACCGAGGGCCAGACAGAGACUAAGAUGACCCCAUAGGAGAAUAAGACCUAGACCUCAUCCUCCUGCCUCCUGCCAGUCCCUGCCAGGGGUCGCCAAUGGCAAAACAGGACUGGAAGCCAGAGGCCAUGGAAGCCCAUGGAUGAAGUCCACAGGCCAGCCUCCCCGAGAGCAGCCUGGACGGUCCGCAGGAGACGUCUCCUGUCUUAGGCGUCCCACGCCGCGUGCUCCUGUUCAGCCCUGCCGAGGUGGAAGCUUGGAGUGGCUCACGGUGGAUGCAUUGACGCUGCAGACGCCAGCAAGUGCUACAAACCAGAGCUGGCCUUUAACUCAGACUGAUGGAGAAGGUGUUAAUAAUGCAGAUUAGACUUAAAAGUGUUGAAGCCAUUGCACUGUGAACAGCAAAAAAAUUGAAGAACUCUUCUGGCAUUUAAAAACAAUUACUCAGUUCAGCAGAGAAGUCACUGACAAACGAGAUCACACUGACUGCUUUGUCGUUUUGGUUUUGUCUUACUCAUUAAUGCAAAUAAGAACAUUCACUAGCAUCUGUGUCGGGCCUACCCUCCCUGGUCAAAUACAGCUACAGUCUCCCUGCAGAAACGAGUUUUCCAGAAAUGAGCCGAUGUUUUCUGCGAGAAUCAAUUGGUCAUAUACAAUUUACAAAAAUGAGUACUGUAUACUAUAUUUGUAAACUGUACACUGCAGAUGCUUUAUUUCACUGAAAUUUAUAAUACACUUAUCCAUGUAUAUGCAUGCAUGCAUUUUUGUUCCUGAGAUCCAGCUGUGAAAUGUUUACCAGCACAUAAAUUACCAGCACAUGCUCUUUUUUGUUAACCUACUAGGUAAAAUCUUCAUUUAUUACAUCAAAUUCUUGUAGUUUUUGUAUUGCAAUUAUGCAGAUAUUGAUUAUCGCAGUAUUACUGCAAUUAUACAGAUACCACAAUUUCAGAUAUUGAUCAGCGUGUUCAGUUGGUUUCUAAGGAGGUUUACUUACCUCAUGGUACACCUAGUUUGCAUAGUUUGAUUAUAUUUAACUCUUAUGCUAAUUGGGGGAAGUCAUUGAUUUAUUGGACAGAUGCACCUGUGGUCUUCCCUGAGCACAUCCUGGCCAAGGAUGCUGCCCCCAGGAGAUUUGAGAAGUCCUGUAAGGAUCAUAUCAGUAUUUUCAAAUACUUAUAGAAAAGCCAGAGGGAUUGACCCAGAAUUACCAAUAUAAGCUUGACCCUGAGAUAACAAUGCCAUUUUAUGUUUGCAUGCAUAAAACCAAUGCAAGAGGCUGAUGACUCCAGAUCCCUUAUAUAAGCCAAUAAAAAGUAGUUUCAUUUUUUAUUUCAUUUAAAAAA
rnacentral:lncRNA from 1 species